rnacentral:lncRNA from 10 species
GGUGUUCGUUUCUCAGAUGACAUGAAAAUGGAGACUGAUAUUAAGAGAAACAAAAAGACUCUUCUAGACCAGCAUGGACAGUACCCAAUAUGGAUGAACCAAAGGCAAAGAAAAAGGCUGAAGGCAAAGCGAGAGAAAAGAAAGGGGAAAAGCAAAGCAAAAGCAGUGAAAGUGGCAAAGGGUUUGGCCUGGUAGACUCUUAAAACCUUGGAAAAUGCCACAUGGGAUAGAUGACGGAUUAGAAUGUAUACACAUGUAUACUUUGAUUUCAACUGCCACCAAAUGAAAACCAUUUGUUUUCCUAUUUUAACUUGGCCUUUUUUCUUCAAUUCAAACCCAGCAUAACUCCUCAAGUUUGUUUUGGGAACUUGAAUAAAAUAUUUUCUUUGAUACAUCCAAGCUCUACUGAUACUUUAACUGGAUGCUACCCAAUAUCCAGUUAUAAUCAGGCCUCAACGUUCUGUCAGGUAUUAAUAUGGUUAGAAUUGUUCUUACAACUGGUAAUUAUAGUCAAUAGAGAUAAAACAGAUGAUGUACUGACAAAUUUUUGUGAACUUAGAUUUUAAAGAAAGUUGUUGUAUAAUCAUAUCAUUUAAAAAUACUACAUUAGGGCUGGGCAUGGUGGCUCACACCUGUAAUCCCAGCACUUUGGGAGGCCGAGGCAGGUGGAUCACGAGGUCAGUUCGAGACUAGCCUGGCUAAUACAGUGAAACCCCAUCUCUACUAAAAAUACAAAAUUAGCCGGGCAUGGGGGCGCGCACCUGUAGUUCCAGCUACUCGGGAGGCUGAGGCAGGAUAAUUGCUUGAACCCAGGAGAUGGAGGUUGCAGUGAGCCAAGAUUGCCCCACUGCACUCCACCCUGGGCAAUGGAGUAGGACUCUGUCUCAAAAAAAAAAAAAAUAAUGGAUCUUAUAAAGUACUUGUGUGGAGCUUUGAUUCCACAGAAUAAAAGAUAUUUUGUGUGUA